GUGUUCAACAUUCCCUUGUUUACACAGAAAGGCCUUUCUAAAAAGUAUCUACAACACAAGUCUCAUCACUUAACCACUACAUUUAAAGAGAAGAAAACCCAUAAAAAGCACUAAAAAGUCGUUUACACAAGAAAAAGCCAUACAAACUCCCCCUGCACUGACUGGUCACUUCAGCUGUAAAGAUCAUCAUCAUCUCCAGCAGCCAUGGUGGAAGCAAAUGGGUCGGCAGC
rnacentral:misc_RNA from 1 species